ensembl:lncRNA
GUUCCUUAUACUGGGGACUGUGAAACUUACACUGAGUUUAGUAGGACUCACUGCCGCAGGAGGGCCUGGUCUGCAGGAGAUGGAGAUGGUCAAGAGCUGGGCUUGCUGGGAUUCUCCUCGUAGAAUCUUCUGUCUGUCUUAAGAUGCCAAAAUGCAGAGCCCUGGAUUUGCAAGAUACCAAAAGGUGUUGGCACUUGAGUGAGGCAGUGCUUGGCAUUGUGCUAAGCCUGAAAAGCGAGAAGCCUUUAACACUCCCACACCAAGGAAAGCUCAGAACUUCUGACAAUGUUUUCUCAACACGAAACUGAAAUUCUUCAGAGUUCUGCUAAUGGAAAAGAAACUCCCACCCCCACCACAAGAAUAGUGUUAGUGUAAUAAUAUUUCCACUGCCCAGACUGAGUUGAAGGUCCAUAUUGUGGAGCCCUGAAAUGGAAAAACUAAGUAGGGCCCCCCAUCUUCAGUCACAUAGAGUGGUAGCUGUGCUUGCUAUAGACUGAAUGUUUGCAUCCCUUCCAAAUUCGUGUGUUGAAAUCCUAACCUCCAGUGUGGCAGCGUUAGGAGCUGAGGCCUUUGGGAAGAGAUUAGGUCACAAGGGUGGAGCCCUCAAGAAUGAGAUUAGUGCCCUUAUAAUAAAAGAGAUCCCAGAGAACUCCCUCAACCUUUCUGCCAUGUGAGAACAUUGUGAGAAGAUGGUUGUCUACAAACCAGCGAGACAGCCCUCAUCAGACACUGAAUUUCCCUGCACUUUGAUCUUCUAAGCCUACAGAACUGUGAGAAGCAAACGUUUGUUGUUUAAGCCACCCAGUCUAUGGUAUUUUGUUACAGUAGCCCAAAUGGACUGACAGAACUCAGUGAUCUUCUUGGUGAAGGAAUCAUGGUUUUGUGGUAGAGUGCCAACUAUUUAUUCAAUAAACACAGAACAUCCCUGAAGUCUAGGUUCUGAUACUGCUGUAAACAGGGUGAUGGCUUCCUGGAGAAUCUUUUGUCUUGCUUAUAAAAAUGAGAUUAAACAUUUAAGUUCUCAUCCUCAACAGAAUGAAAAAGUAAGAGGAAGUCCAAGAUUAAAAGCCAAGUAACUGACAGAGAAUUUCAGGGAAAAAAUAAAACAGAUCAAAGUAGUUAGGAAUGGCAUCAUAGAUUGAUAGUCGCUCAGUCA